rnacentral:rRNA from 1 species
AACCUUACCUGGGCUAGACGACGGCGGACCGUCCUAGAAAUAGGAUUUUCCCUUCGGGGACCGCCGGUUCAGGUGCUGCAUGGCUGUCGUCAGCUCGUGCCGUGAGGUGUGGGGUUAAGUCCCGCAACGAGCGCAACCCGCGUCCUGAGUUGCCACCAUUCAGUGGGGCACGCUAGGGGGACUGCCGGCGUUAAGCCGGAGGAAGGGGGGGACGACGUCAAGUCAUCAUGGCCCUGAUGGCCAGGGCCACACACGUGCUACAAUGGGCGGUACAAAGGGUCGCAAACCCGCGAGGGGGAGCCAAUCCCAAAAAGCCGCCUCAGUUCGGAUUGGAGUCUGCAACUCGACUCCAUGAAGUUGGAAUCGCUAGUAAUCGCGGAUCAGCACGCCGCGGUGAAUACGUUCCCGGGCC